AGUGAACGCUGGCGGCAGGCCUAACACAUGCAAGUCGAACGGCAGCACAGGAGAGCUUGCUCUCUGGGUGGCGAGUGGCGGACGGGUGAGGAAUGCGUCGGAAUCUGCCUAUUUGUGGGGGAUAACGUAGGGAAACUUACGCUAAUACCGCAUACGACCUACGGGUGAAAGUGGGGGACCGCAAGGCCUCACGCAGAUAGAUGAGCCGACGCCGGAUUAGCUAGUUGGCGGGGUAAAGGCCCACCAAGGCGACGAUCCGUAGCUGGUCUGAGAGGAUGAUCAGCCACACUGGGACUGAGACACGGCCCAGACUCCUACGGGAGGCAGCAGUGGGGAAUAUUGGACAAUGGGCGCAAGCCUGAUCCAGCCAUGCCGCGUGAGUGAUGAAGGCCCUAGGGUUGUAAAGCUCUUUCACCGGUGAAGAUAAUGACGGUAACCGGAGAAGAAGCCCCGGCUAACUUCGUGCCAGC
rnacentral:rRNA from 1 species